rnacentral:rRNA from 1 species
AUACGUAUGGAGCAAGCGUUAUCCGGAUUUACUGGGUGUAAAGGGAGCGCAGGCGGUUUGGCAAGUCAGAUGUGAAAACCCGGGGCUCAACUCCGGGACUGCAUUUGAAACUGUCAGACUAGAGUGUCGGAGAGGUAAGUGGAAUUCCUAGUGUAGCGGUGAAAUGCGUAGAUAUUAGGAGGAACACCAGUGGCGAAGGCGGCUUACUGGACGAUAACUGACGCUGAGGCUCGAAAGCGUGGGGAGC